AGCGGUAGCUAGCGGUCCAGCCAUGUACACAAAGGCUGGCCUCCCCAUGGCCCUGUAGACUUCUUUACCCAUCGAAGUUCCUUCCUUCAAGUUCUGUUAAGCUUGGUUCACCUCUCCUUCCUGUCAUAUCUCUCUCUGCAGAACCUCUGAGGCCAGCAGUUACCCUGUAACAACUUGCCGUGGUGGGCUGAUUCUCUAUGAAGGAAGACAUUUAGCUGCUCUGGUUGCAGGCUGUGUGGAUGCAUGGCUUUCAGCUGACUUGGAGGCUGACUCAGCCGUACUGGGGGUGAAGAGAAGGCUGAUCUGCUUCUCUCUGUGCAGAACUUGGAAAUGGCAGUGGAGCACGUGCACAGCUGGGCCAACAACAACUGUGUUGGAAAUUCCUCAAGGGAAAAACCUCUCUCCUGCUAGCUGAGCAACCGCUAUGCGUACUGAAGCCCUGCUUCCUGGGAAGUGGCCGGACAUCGCCUGCUGAUGGGACAUAGAGAAUAAAUCUUUUCUUUUCCUCUGCUUCCACGUGUGGCCUUUUGCUUUAUUAAUCCCUGUGCCAUAUUUCUUCCUGGCCCUAGUGAG